UAUAUUAUAUUACUGAACUUUAAAUCCAGUUGGCAUUGUCUUAAGCUACGACAUUCUAGAUACAGAAAGUAAUUAAAUUAUAUAACAUAUAUGAGGUAAUAAUUCAGUCACGAAUAUAGAAACUAGAAUGGAGCUCUAUAAUAAUUGAUGUGCUCAUCAAAUCCAAACAUACGGUGCGGGUCUUGCAGUUUCAUGUCAAAGCCCGAAAUCGAGCUAAAAUCCAAAAAUGAAAAGACAAAAUCCACACCGCUUUUCGGCAACAUUCAGAACAAAGCUUACCAUGGCUCGGUCCGCAGGAGUGCCCGGAGCGCUUUGUGGAAUGAAAGGCAAGAUAAGAGGUACUGGGAGGCAGAUCGCAGCCCGCACACAGUCCACCGACGUUCAUUUUCCACAGUUUUCGCGGAACUAUCAACUUAUUUCAUAAAUAAGCAAUAACGGAGAAAAUUGGCGAUUUUUCGACCGUGCAAUUGACAAUUACAGAUUUAAUGAUGUACCUAUAGAUAGGAAUUGAUAUACAAUAUGUAUAGAAAACAGCAAUUAACUGAUAAGUCCUGAUGAAUUUCUUAAAUAAUUUUAAGAAUAUACUGGAUUUUUAUGAAUAAAGAAUAUUUUCAGAGACGGAAUCAGUAUUAU